AGAAUAUCGUGCAAAAGUUAAUCUAUUUAAGUAAUGCAACGUAAAAGGGGAAACUAAUAUAUGAGAUAGACGCAUUACAUGCAAAGCAAGAUAAUUCAAGCAGUGAUUUGUCAUAAGUGCGAUGAUUAUGGCUUACAGCUCAUGAAAACCCCAAAUCCACAAUCUCAGUAAAUUAGAAUAUUACAUGCAAGCAAUAAAACAAGGAGUGUACAUAGAACAAUAUCGGACCUCUGAAAAGUAUAAGCAUGCAUAUGGACUCGGUACUUGGUUUGGGCCCCUUUUGCAGCAAUUACUGCCUCAAUGCGGCGUGGCAUGGAAGCUCUCAGCCUGUGGCACUGCUGAGGUGUUAUGGAAGACCAGGAUGCUUCAAUAGAGGCCUUCAUCUCUUCUGCAUUGUUCGGUCUCAUGUCUCUCAUCUUUCUCUUCGCAAUGCCCCAUAGAUUCUCUAUUCGGUUCAGGUCAGACGAGUGUAAUGAUAUUGAUGUAUGUGUGUGAAGGUGCUGUGUGUGUGGG